UCCACUGUGGAGCACAUUCAUUCAUAUUUGGCACCAACCCUAUAAUGAGUCUAUUUCCAUUUUCCACCUAGCUGAGCCCUCAUCUGUCUGUCCGGGAGAGAUAUCACUAAAAGAAAAAAAAGUGUAAAAGUCUUGUAAUGCUUAUAUGAACUUCGAAAAUACGAGCUUCACCCAAAGGCAUCAUCCACCACACAAACCUGUCGGACAGAGACCCUGAACGCAACAAGCUGGACUGGACCAAAACGCUCACUGCUGCAGCUGCGUACACUGUGAUUUGAAGGGGAAUAGCAACAAAACGAGGCUAUUUAAUCUUCACUACACGGCCUGGAUUGAACUGGAGGAAGGAAGAUGUCGGCGGUUUAUAAAGAUGACCAGGAGGACUGGCUGACGGUGUGUCUCAAGUACCUGCUCUUUCUCUUCAACUUUCUCUUCUGGGUGGGUGGAGCAGCUGUUUUGGGGGUAGGAGUCUGGACGCUGGUGGAGAAGAGUGACUACUUGAGUCUGCUGGCCUCCAGCACUUUUGCUGUCUCAGCAUAUAUCCUCAUCCUGGCCGGAGGCCUGGUGGUGGUUACGGGCUUCUUGGGCUGUUGCGCUGUCAUCCGGGAGCAGAAAAGCUGUCUGUCCACGUAUUUCUUCUGCCUGCUGCUGAUCUUCUUGAUUGAACUGGUAGCUGGAGUACUGGCUUAUGUCUACUACCAGAGGCUGAGUGAGGAGCUGAAGCAGCAUCUCAACCAGACUAUGACAGAUAACUACGCCCAGCCAGGGAGGGAGGCCAUCACAUUAGCCGUGGACAGACUGCAACAGGACUUCAAGUGCUGUGGCAGCAACAACUCCCGUGAUUGGAUGGUGAGUGUGUACAUUUCGUCAAAGCAGGCAGAAGACAGGGUGGUGCCUGACAGCUGCUGUAAGACCAUCACCCCUCACUGCGGCAAGAGAGACCACCCCUCCAACAUCUACAAGGUGGAGGGCGGUUGCAUCACUAAGCUGGAGCAGUUUCUGGCCGACCACCUGUUGGUCAUUGGUGCUGUGGGAAUAGGAGUGGCUUGUCUGCAGCUGGUCGGGGCAGUGUUGACAGCCGGCUUUAUUUAUCUGCUCUAUAAAGAAGAGGAAGAGGACUUCGGCACGUUGUGAUUUAGCUCUAGAGCAACUUUGUGGUUUAAUCAACCCGGAGAGACGGCAAGGUCUGUGGGAUGGUGUUCACCAGCUGCUUGUACAGAAGGAUCAAGAUGGAGCCGUACUGAGUACGCCAAGGCUCCCAACACACCGUCUUCAACAGGCAGAUGAAACACCUGACCUUCGACCUCUCUGAAUCUUGAACUCUUGACCUGGUGAUCUAAGCCAAGUGCACACACAGAUGCAUUCCAGAUCACCCACAUUGCAGUCGGAAACAAAUCGUGCCACUGACCAACCAGGCUAAAAAAUGACUUCAAUCCAGGCUUCUACAUUUCCGAUACCUGACUGUGACCUCGGCCUACAACAUGUCCUUAUGUCGUUGGCGUAGAUGCAUGCUUUAGUUUGAGCAGGACAAAAGAAAGGGACGUCAUAAUGCAUUCCGCUCUGUUCAACUUAUGAUCCAAAUUAUGUUUUCACUGCGCAGAGAUUUAUAUAUUACUGUUUUUUUUUCUCCCAGUACUUGAGUAAGCUAAGUAUUGGCACAGUUCACACUGGUGUCCCUGCUCACAAAAAAAGGUAAUUUCUGGUUGUAUAUUUUGUAAAACACAAGGUGCCUCUUUCACAAUCCUGCUGGUAAAUGAUUUAUGUUCUAAUUCUGUGCCUGCAAUCUUAAAAAGGGAGAUGACAAUGCACUGUGAUAAAAUGGCAUCAAAUUAAAUCUAGUUUACUAUCUUUAUAUUUGUAGUUAAUGUCUAUAUUCCUGAAAAAUGGCAGCACUGAAUGUUGAACGGCAGUUAUUAAAAAAAUGAAGUGUAUGGCUACAAACGAUGAAGAAAAAGUAAAAAAUUGUUGCCUGAUCCCUGAAUGUACAACUCCACCUAGUGGUUGGCACUGGUCAUACACUACAUGUAUGAUAUUCUAACUAUAUGCUACACUAUACAUCAAAAUCAGCUGUUUAUCUUGAAGAAUAUAUGUGAUUUUUAACAUUAUCAAACAUUAUUUUCUGUGAAUUUAAGACUUGUUUUCAUCCUUUCCCAGACACACACACAAACAGGUUUCAUUCUCUACAGUGAAGAAGUUGACCUUUGUGACAGCUAGAGGCAAAGACUACGUUGUUGUCACUGCCUAAUCUAUCACUUGCCCUCCCUUUUCCUGUAGUUAUUACCUCUGGAACAAUGAGUGGCCUUGUCGCCACCAUACUGUAGAGGUGAUAAGUCUCGUCUCGGCUGUUGUGGGUUAUAAAGUCAGAUAUAUAUACUGUCUGGAUACAGAUGUUUCUGUUCCAAAGAUCAAAUAUCUGUUGCAACAGUAAAACACCAUUACCAAGACCACUCAGAACUCUGUAAAGGGACCUCCUCGGAUUUGUGUUUGUUUUUUCCCCCACCUGAUUGACCUCCAUAUGAAGGGUGCUAAUGUAUGUAGGCAGUUGUUGAUUGGCAUAUGCUCCAACUACUGACUAUUAUGUUAUUCAAAAUAUUGAUAUGACACACAUAAAUAAAUGUUUAAAUAUCAUUGCA